rnacentral:tRNA from 1 species
UGUCAGAUAGCUCAGUUGGUCGGGCACCUGACUAGAGAUUCAGAGCCCCGGGUUCAAAUCCCGGUCUGGUCC